CAAAAGUGCAAACAUUGUCAAGACAUAGUUCCUAGAUGCUGUUUGCAGCACUGGAGUCUCAAUGGAGAAACAAACUACUCUUAUGGGUGGACCGCAUUUCUAUCAGUAGCUGGCCAACAUAAAACUAAGUCAAAGGGAUCUACAGAGGUUCUUCCUCUCAUAACGGUUCUUAUUCUGUGACUGAGGAAAAGCAAACUCUGAAGUUAAAGCUUCUACUGCUGCUACUACUACUGCAACCUGUUACCAUGAGUCAGGUCCUCAUAGCCUAACAAAGCAAUCGGAAAUUAUUAGAGGCCAUUAAAAAUAAACAGUGGGUAGAAGCUAAGAAAGCAAAGACCAUAAUCACCAAAACUCACAUACAUUUUCUCCCAGGCACAAAACUAGGGUGAUAAACUUCCUAGCUUCCCUCACCUUUAUAGUAAAUGUCACUCUCAUCAAAGGCUAUACCCUUUCAGGGCAACAAAGCAAAAGAUAUUUUAUCUUACUGACAAAAGAUGAAUGACAUUUUAUAUGCUAAAAUUUUAGAAAUCAAACAGCAAAUAAUAAUGAUGAAACCAAACAUAACCUCUUUGUUGAAGAGUACCAUACUAUAAUCAUUAAAUCAAAUAUUUAAGGAAUGAUCAUUUUACAAUUAUGUUGAAAAAUCCAUCCCUACCUUCACUGUGGCAAGUAUUUCGUUACCUAUAUUCAUCAAGUAAAAAUCCUUUCUUAAAAAAUAAUUUAUUUUACAUCCUGGCUGAAGUUGCCCCUCCCCUCCUCUCCUCCCAGUCCC